UACGUAGGUGACAAGCGUUGUCCGGAUUUACUGGGCGUAAAGAGCUCGCAGGCGGUCGAUCAAGUCGAGUGUGAAAGCCCCCGGCUCAACUGGGGAGGGUCAUUCGAUACUGAUCGACUCGAAGGCAGGAGAGGGUAGUGGAAUUCCCGGUGUAGUGGUGAAAUGCGUAGAUAUCGGGAGGAACACCAGUGGCGAAGGCGACUACCUGGCCUGUUCUUGACGCUGAGGCGCGAAAGCUAGGGGAGCAAACGGG
rnacentral:rRNA from 1 species